rnacentral:lncRNA from 1 species
AUACUUCUCUUAUCUCAGUAGAUAUGGUGGCGGAGGAAGAAAAGUUGUUGGAAGAGCGCGUGAAGGAAGAAGUGGAUGAUUGUAAGUGCAAUUAUGCUUUACUGUCUUUUACUAUUGUUAAUUGAAUGUGGUUUAUAUUAUGGAAACUUGCAAAUUGAUAUGGACUAAGUUAGCUCGCACUCUAUAAAAUGGUAGGCAUUUGAGGCAUUUCAAGUUGUUGUACACCCCUCCCCACCCACAAUUUUUUCCUACUUCAGGGAAAAAUUACUGCAAUUGGAUAGUAUUUUACUGUUUUCACCCCAUUUUGAGUUAAUAUUGUAUGGACAUGUGCUAAUGUGGCAUUUUUUACAUUUUUAAAUCAUAGUUAAAUGUGUAUUGUGCUACCCUUAGAAUUUUGUUGGGUGCAGAUUUGUAGCAAACAUUAGACUGUAUGCUACCUGUCUAUAUUCCAGAAUCUGACAGAAGUUCACCGGGCCAUUUUAGGAUUGAAUAACUCUUCUAACCAUUUGUCUUGCAGUUAGGAUUGAUCUUAAAAGUGAAUGAAUUCUGACCUUUAUCGAUUCUCCAUUGCAGCAAAAAGUGUUCAAGUUUUGGUACACUAGUGUAGCACAUAAAAGCAGUCCAUUGACAAUUUCUAUGGGGAAGAUGCUCGUAGUCAGCGCUGAAUUCAACUGUUCAAAUGAAAUUCUUUCUAUAUUAGCUAUGCUUUUAGGUAUUGUUCUUUGUUAUUAUUCUUUGAGUCUGUAUUGUGUCUCAUCUUACAUAUAUGUGGUAGUAGAUCGAGUUUUACUGAGAAUGUUUACUUAACCUUUCUCGAAUGCAUAUAUCAGUCCAUUCUAGCGAGUGCAUAAACGUACAUUGAUGCAUAUAAACUACAUAAUGAUACACUUGGGGCUUAUGCAGUCCAACAACUUGUCAAAAAG